AGGUCCUUAUCUUGAAACGAGCGAGACGGGUGAAAUGAUCCAGUUGUCGAUUCGCGACGAUACAUGAUCAUCGAGGGAGACCUUGCAGUAAUGUGCUUACGCGUCGCGGGGAGAGAAACCCCGCGCCAAUAAUCCGUAACAUUAUAUAACUGUUGGUAAUGCUCCAUUCGCGCGUGAAACGAAUCGCGUAGUAACUAAGUACUACGCCUGUAUACAAUAAAUAUUACUUGUGCUGUUGCUUGUUGCACAUUACAUAUUGUAGAAGAAUAUCUAAAAUUUCGAAUCUCACCAUUCUGUCUAGACACAUACUCAGGUACAUUUAUGCGUUCGCGAUCUUUACGUAGCUGUUCCAAUGCUUUCUAAAAAUCCACGCCUUAAUACAUGGCCUAUUAUCGUAUAAACGAACUGUUCACUAGGUAUAUGCUAGUGAAAAAUACACGAAACUAUGGAAAAUCGAAGAUAAAAUAAUUUACAUCGUGCUGUUUGUUAAAAAGUAUUACACUGCCGCGAAUUGAAUGUAUCAGAACAGCAUGGUGAUGAAAAAGAUUUACAGAAUUGAUACAGAUCGUAUUAGCUAGGUUAUGAUCUAUUUCAAAUACAUGCAUGAACGAAAGCACGAUUUUCUUUCUGCUAUUUCGGGAAUUUUCUUAUCCAAGGAUAAGAUAACUACUUAAAUACUGUCUCAACGUUCGACAAAUUUCGUAAAGCAAAUAAUAGUUUUUCUGCUAUGCUUUACACUGGACUGCAUAAAACUUCAUCAAGGCAACGUAUUUGAUAACGGACAUAUUUUGUGGCAGAAAACCAAGAUUUUAUACGAAAAAAGAGAAUUAUUUUCUUUUUUUGUGAAGCGCGCGAAAGCGUGACUAUGCACGAUGCAGCUUUCUCUCUCUCUUUCUCUUUCUUUGUUGUACGCUUUGCCAUAAGCUUUCACGGUCUCGCGACACCAGUGCUUAGUUCCAGUAUGAACGCGAGAACGCGUCCAAGUCCAAACUCAUCGUAUCGUACGAAGUAUAUACGUACAUACGGCAAGCAAAGAGGGAAGACGUUCAGAGCGUGCACUAUGCACUACAACGGUUAGACACACACACGUACACACGCACGCGCAUUUCUGCGUAUGCAAUAUAGUGAAUAAGGAAUAAGGAAAUGAACCAAGAAUGCAUGAAGAACAACAUGGACAGGCUAUUUUUGGACUUGUGUUUAUACCGAUAUAAAAUGAAUAAGACAAGAUAGAAACUUCUCUAACAAGUCAAGGAAGGGUACUUAUGAAACAUUGAAUUAAUGGAAAUCGCGAUAACAAUGUGAUGCGCAGAUCGAAAACGAUAUGUAUUAAACAGGAAUAAAUCGUAUCAUAAAAUAA